UCAUCAGGAAUACAGAUGCAUGAUCACUGAUACAAACCUGAUAUGUAGAAAUCUGGUUUUACGUCAAAGGUCUCUGUGCCUCUGCAUUGGCUGAUCCCAUGUUUGGAAUGCUCUUCCACCCCUAACAAGACUCAGCUGUAAUGUUGCCUCCUGAAGGAGACCUUUCUUAGUCCUCCCAGCUGCUGAGCUUGCCUUAUUAAGCGAGAGUGACCUGAGGUGGCAAAGCAUGAACAAAAGACAAGAAGACAUGGGAGUGAAAGACUCAUCAUAAGUGAAAGACAUUAUCAUAAGUGGAAGACACUGUGUAGUUGAACUAGUCAAAUAUAGUGAUGGACAACUGACAUAGUUCUAACUCCUAACAUUUAUUCCAAGAUGGUGGGGCUUGAGGCACAAGGUUUGAAAUUUCUAAUGCAUGUUAUAGGCCCUUAAUUUUUGUUAGCAAUAUAGAAAUGAGAUAGUUUUUGUGGGCUUAUCUUAUACCUACUGAUAUAUUAUCUCAUUUUUUUAGUCUUUUGCAUUUUCUUAAUUAUCAUACCAUUUGCAAAUAGAGAUAUUUGACCUUUUCUUUGUUAAUGCUUAUUACUUUAAUUUCUUUUUUGUCUUAUUGCUGUAGUUAGUAUUUAAAAUACCAUGUUAAAUAAUAAGGAUGAAACUAGGUGGUGUUGCUUUUCCUCUGUUCUUAGUGGGAAAGCAUCUAAUAUUUCUUCAUUAUAUAUACCAUCAGCUAUUGGAUUUAGAUAAAUGUUUUUAUCAUAUCAAGGAAAAAACCAUCCAGUCUUAUGGUUUUUAAUGUUUUGAACAUGAACUUGCAUACUAUUUUGUCAAAAGCUUUAUCUGCAUCAAAUAAUA